CAGUAGCCGCGGGAAAACGUAGGUGGCAAGCGUUGUCCGGAAUUAUUGGGCGUAAAGGGCUCGCAGGCGGUUUCUUAAGUCUGAUGUGAAAGCCCCCGGCUCAACCGGGGAGGGUCAUUGGAAACUGGGAAACUUGAGUGCAGAAGAGGAGAGUGGAAUUCCACGUGUAGCGGUGAAAUGCGUAGAGAUGUGGAGGAACACCAGUGGCGAAGGCGACUCUCUGGUCUGUAACUGACGCUGAGGAGCGAAAGCGUGGGGAGCGAACAGGAUUAGAUACCCCUGUAGUCCCUGUCUCUUAUAC
rnacentral:rRNA from 1 species